rnacentral:rRNA from 1 species
UACGUAGGGCGCAAGCGUUGUCCGGAAUUAUUGGGCGUAAAGAGCUCGUAGGCGGUUUGUCGCGUCUGCUGUGAAAUCCCGAGGCUCAACCUCGGGCUUGCAGUGGGUACGGGCAGACUAGAGUGCGGUAGGGGAGACUGGAAUUCCUGGUGUAGCGGUGGAAUGCGCAGAUAUCAGGAGGAACACCGAUGGCGAAGGCAGGUCUCUGGGCCGCAACUGACGCUGGAGA